ACGAACGUUGGCGGCGUGCUUAAUACAUGCAAGUCAACUGAAGCACCGGUAGUAAUACUGGUGUGGAGGUGGCGCACGGUGAGUAACACGUAGGUAAUCUGCCUUCAGGUCUGACAUAACCCCGAGAAAUCGGGGCUAAUAGCAGAUGAUGCAGCGGCUUGACAUCAAGACAGUUGUUAAAGCUUCGGCGCCUGAAGAUGAGCCUGCGUCUGAUUAGCUAGUUGGCGGAGUAAUAGCCCACCAAGGCGACGAUCAGUAGCUGGUCUGAGAGGAUGAUCAGCCACACUGGAACUGAGACACGGUCCAGACUCCUACGGGAGGCAGCAGUAAGGAAUAUUGCUCAAUGGGAGAAAUCCUGAAGCAGCAACGCCGCGUGAGGGAUGAAGGGCUUUUGCUCGUAAACCUCUGUAGUGAGGGAAAAAUUUCCAUUCUAUGGAAUAUGAUGGUACCUCAAAAGUAAGCCCCGGCUAACUACGUG
rnacentral:rRNA from 1 species